UACGAAGGGGGCUAGCGUUGCUCGGAAUCGCUGGGCGUAAAGCGCACGUAGGCGGAUUGCUAAGUCAGGGGUGAAAUCCUGGAGCUCAACUCCAGAACUGCCUUUGAUACUGGCGAUCUUGAGUCCGGGAGAGGUGAGUGGAACUGCGAGUGUAGAGAUGAAAUUCGUAGAUAUUCGCAAGAACACCAGUGGCGAAGGCGGCUCACUGGCCCGGUACUGACGCUGAGGUGCGAAAGCGUGGGGAGCAAACAGG
rnacentral:rRNA from 1 species